GCUCCAAAGGCCUAGUGGUUAGUGAGUCCGCCUUGGAUAAGGGAGGUCGUGGGUUCGAACCCCGGUUGGCGCU